ACGAAGGGAGCUAGCGUUGUUCGGAAUUACUGGGCGUAAAGGGCGCGUAGGCGGUUCGACAAGUCAGAUGUGAAAGCCCUGGGCUCAACCCGGGAAUUGCGUUUGAUACUGUCGUGCUUGAAUUCGGGAGAGGUUGGUAGAAUUCCCAGUGUAGAGGUGAAAUUCGUAGAUAUUGGGAAGAAUACCCGUGGCGAAGGCGGCCAACUGGACCGACAUUGACGCUGAGGCGCGAAAGCGUGGGGAGCAAACAG
rnacentral:rRNA from 1 species